rnacentral:lncRNA from 1 species
AUAUUUCUCUACCUCAUGCAGAAUCUUAGAGCUCUGGCUUUGUGGCUCCAUGGCUGGGGGAGGGAGUGGAGACGGAGGAACUUGUCACUGCUCCAUGCCCCAUUGUUGAAAUGGAAAAUGUGGAAAUGUUAAGCCGUUUCUAGAGGAUUGUGGAAGGGGGAGUUAACUGUGAAGGCACUUAACAAUCUCCUUAUUGAGGAACGCGGGACUUUGUUUCCAAUGGAGGAAUUUCUGGCAUCAGAGAGCAGAUAGGGCAGAGGUGCUUUCUUCUGCGGCUCCUCAAGGCUCACAGCUUGCUAUGGAAGCAUCCUUGGAGGACAUCUCCUUCCCUGCCCUUUCCAUCAACGUUGGUUAAUCCAAUCUCCACCUUCUCUUAAAAGAUUGACAUGACGAGUGAGGAAGCCAAGGACAUUGCAUCCGCAUCUUAAACUUAAUCUCAGUACAUGAAAGGGGCUGCUUUGGAAAUAGAGCUUCAUGAAACAGGGAAAUCCCGUGGCCAGGAAACCCCUCGCUCCUCCCCACCCCACCCUGUGAGGAGUGUCUCCACUAGGAAGGAAAUUAAAUCAGUCUUCCAGCCACCAGAAUUGAAUUGGGAUGGACUAUUUCCUCUUUGGAUUAUGUUCCAAAUUGCAUUCCUGUUGCUCUGUUUGAAGUUAGAGUCAGAAAUCAUUCGUAUUUCCCCUCUCUGAAGGAAAGCCUGCUGCAAUGCUUAUCUCAUCGAGUUAAUUGACCUACAAAGGGCUCAUUCCUUCCUAAAAACACUCUGCAUGGCUCUGAUGGACUCAGGGUGACAAGAAGUGGAUUCUAAAGUGCUGAGGGCUCAGUGGGCCAGCCCAGGCCUGGAGUCUGAAUGAAGAGGCAUCAGUGUGCCGGAACUUCAUGACUGGGUUCAGUGCCAGACCUGCAGACGUUGAAAGUGAAUGUCAUCAUGAAGCCCACAUGGCUGGAUGGGUCAGGUUCUCCUCAGUUGUCACCUGUCCAGGGGCAGUCCAGUGAGAAAAGCUAGAAUGUGGAGUCCUGUCAUCAGAUGAUGUGACUACAUGGAAUGAGGACUAUAGCUGCUCUCUUAAAAACCUGCAGCCCCCUCUCUCAGCCCAGACAGUUGAGGUAUUUAUGCACCAUCAUAACAUUAACAGCAUCUUUGCUUUGGAAAGUGGGGGUUUAUGAUUUCUAGGGUAAAUCCUCGCCUUUGGGAGUGUGAAUGAGACAAGCGUAUCAGCAACUGCCAAGACCAAUCAAUAGAUGUGCAUGGAACAUUCUCUUCAUCCCCAAAUCAGAAUGAACACAGUCCUUUAAAGUCUGCACUGCAGGUGAAAUUCACAUGACUCACAAUUCCCUUUAGCCAAUGUUACCGAAGUCAGUGUCAAGAAAACUUAACAGAAAAAAAAAAAA